rnacentral:rRNA from 1 species
UACGUAGGGGGCAAGCGUUGUCCGGAAUUAUUGGGCGUAAAGAGCGCGUAGGCGGUCCGAUAAGUCGGCUGUGAAAGUCCAGGGCUCAACCCUGGAAAGCCGGCCGAUACUGUCGGACUAGAGUCCGGAAGAGGGCGAGUGGGAAUUCCCGGUGUAGCGGUGAAAUGCGCAGAUAUCAGGAAGAACACCAAUGGCGAAGGCAGCUCUCUGGGACGGUACUGACGACUGAGACGCGGAAAGCGUGGGGAGCCGAACAGG